rnacentral:rRNA from 1 species
UACGUAGGGUGCGAGCGUUAAUCGGAAUUACUGGGCGUAAAGCGUGCGUAGGCGGUCCCCCAAGUCCGCUGUGAAAGCCCCGGGCUUAACCUGGGAAUGGCAUUUGGGACUGCAAGGCUUGAGUGCGGCAGAGGAGACUGGAAUUCCUGGUGUAGCAGUGAAAUGCGUAGAUAUCAGGAGGAACACCGAUGGCGAAGGCAGGUCUCUGGGCUGACACUGACGCUCAUGCACGAAAGCGUGGGGAGCAAACAGG